UACAGAGGUCCCAAGCGUUGUUCGGAUUCACUGGGCGUAAAGGGUGCGUAGGCGGUCGGGUAAGUCUGAUGUGAAAUCUCACAGCUUAACUGAGGAAGUGCGCCCGAAACUGCAGAGCUUGAAUAUCGGAGAGGAUGGCGGAAUUCCCCAAGUAGAGGUGAAAUUCGUAGAUAUGGGGAGGAACACCGGUGGCGAAGGCGGCCAUCUGGACGACUAUUGACGCUGAGACGCGAAAGCAUGGGGAGCAAACAGG
rnacentral:rRNA from 1 species